UACGAAGGGGGCUAGCGUUGUUCGGAAUCACUGGGCGUAAAGCGCUCGUAGGCGGUUCUUUAAGUCAGAGGUGAAAUCCCAAGGCUCAACCUUGGAACUGCCUUUGAUACUGGGGAUCUCGAGUCCGGGAGAGGUGAGUGGAACUGCGAGUGUAGAGGUGAAAUUCGUAGAUAUUCGCAAGAACACCAGUGGCGAAGGCGGCUCACUGGCCCGGUACUGACGCUGAGGAGCGAAAGCGUGGGGAGCAAACAGG
rnacentral:rRNA from 1 species